rnacentral:rRNA from 1 species
AACCUUUACACUGCACGACAGUGCGAUAAGGGAAUCCCAAGUGCGUAGGCAUAGAGCCUACGCUUUUGUCCACCGUAGGGAGGUGGACGAAUAAGGGCUGGGCAAGACCGGUGCCAGCCGCCGCGGUAAUACCGGCAGCCCGAGUGAUGGCCGAUCUUAUUGGGCCUAAAGCGUCCGUAGCUGGCCGCACAAGUCCAUCGGAAAAUCCACCCGCUCAACGGGUGGGCGUCCGGUGGAAACUGUGUGGCUUGGGACCGGAAGGCGCGACGGGUACGUCCGGGGUAGGAGUGAAAUCCCGUAAUCCUGGACGGACCACCGGUGGCGAAAGCGCCUCAGGAGGACGGAUCCGACAGUGAGGGACGAAAGCUAGGGUCUCGAACCGGAUUAGAUACCCGGGUAGUCCUAGCUGUAAACGAUGUCUGCUAGGUGUGACACAGGCUACGAGCCUGUGUUGUGCCGUAGGGAAGCCGUGAAGCAGACCGCCUGGGAAGUACGUCCGCAAGGAUGAAACUUAA